AGCGAACGCUGGCGGCAGGCCUAACACAUGCAAGUCGAACGAACUCUUCGGAGUUAGUGGCGGACGGGUGAGUAACACGUGGGAACGUGCCUUUUGGUUCGGAAUAACUCAGGGAAACUUGUGCUAAUACCGAAUGUGCCCUUCGGGGGAAAGAUUUAUCGCCAUUAGAGCGGCCCGCGUCUGAUUAGCUGGUUGGUGAGGUAACGGCCCACCAAGGCGACGAUCAGUAGCUGGUCUGAGAGGAUGACCAGCCACACUGGGACUGAGACACGGCCCAGACUCCUACGGAAGGCAGCAGUGGGGAAUCUUGCGCAAUGGGCGAAAGCCUGACGACGCCAUGCCGCGUGAAUGAUGAAGGUCUUAGGAUUGUAAAAUUCUUUCACCGGGGACGAUAAUGACGGUACCCGGAGAAGAAGCCCCGGCUAACUACGUG
rnacentral:rRNA from 1 species